UUCCUCCGGAUCGGGACCUCGGUCGAGGUUGGAUCCGGCACCGCCACGCUGUUCUGGUUUGAUAGAUGGACUAGUGACUUGCCCCUCGCGGCCUGCUUUCCCGACUUGUUCUCCAUAGAGGUUGCCCCGCAGAUCUCUGUCACGACGGCCCUCAUUGACUUGGGGCAACUCGCGUUCCGAAGACCUUUUGGGCCGGCUGAAACCGCGGACUGGCUGGAGCUGCUCGACUGCAUUGCCUUGCACGAGCCUGAUCUCGUGACGGAAGCCGACCGAUCCAGAUGGCGACUAGAGCCUUCUAGGCAAUUCUCCACGAAAUCUCUCUACGAGGCCAUCGCCCCCUCUCUUGGCCAUGAGGCGCUCACCUCUAUCUGGGAGAUUUGCCUCCCUCUGAAAAUUAGGAUCUUCUUGUGGCAAUGGAUUCACGGUCGCGUCUCGUCCGGUGUGGAGGUCCUGAAGCGCAAUGGCCCUGGUGAUGGCCACUGCCCGCUCUGCGGGCCUGAAGAGGAUUCGAACCAUAUCUUCUUCAUCUGUGUGUCCGCGCAGUUCCUAUGGAGUUGUUUCCGUGGGAUAGUGGGUGGAAGCUGA
rnacentral:rRNA from 1 species